rnacentral:rRNA from 1 species
AGCAGCCGCGGUAAUUCCAGCUCCAAUAGCGUAUAUUAAGUUGUUGCAGUUAAAAAGCUCGUAGUUGAAUUUCGGGAUCAAUUUAUUGGUCGUGCUAUUGUACGUACUGGUAUGAUUGGUUUCUCCUUUCUGACGAACCAUGAUGUCAUUAAUUUGGUGUUAUGGGAAGUUAGGACUGUUACUUUGAAAAAAU